rnacentral:rRNA from 1 species
GACGAACGCUGGCGGCGUGCCUAAUACAUGCAAGUUGAGCGCUGAAGGUUGGUACUUGUACCAACUGGAUGAGCAGCGAACGGGUGAGUAACGCGUGGGGAAUCUGCCUUUGAGCGGGGGACAACAUUUGGAAACGAAUGCUAAUACCGCAUAAAAACUUUAAACACAAGUUUUAAGUUUGAAAGAUGCAAUUGCAUCACUCAAAGAUGAUCCCGCGUUGUAUUAGCUAGUUGGUGAGGUAAAGGCUCACCAAGGCGAUGAUACAUAGCCGACCUGAGAGGGUGAUCGGCCACAUUGGGACUGAGACACGGCCCAAACUCCUACGGGAGGCAGCAGUAGGGAAUCUUCGGCAAUGGACGAAAGUCUGACCGAGCAACGCCGCGUGAGGGAAGAAGGUUUUCGGAUCGUAAAACUCGGUUGGUAGAGAAGAACGUUGGUGAGAGUGGAAAGCUCAUCAAGUGACGGUAACUACCCAGAAAGGGACGGCUAACUACGUG